UGAACGCUGGCGGCGUGCCUAAUACAUGCAAGUCGAGCGAACAGACGCGGAGCUUGCUCCUCUGACGUUAGCGGCGGACGGGUGAGUAACACGUGGAUAACCUACCUAUAAGACUGGGAUAACUUCGGGAAACCGGAGCUAAUACCGGAUAAUAUAUUGAACCGCAUGGUUCAAUAGUGAAAGACGGUUUUGCUGUCACUUAUAGAUGGAUCCGCGCCGCAUUAGCUAGUUGGUAAGGUAACGGCUUACCAAGGCAACGAUGCGUAGCCGACCUGAGAGGGUGAUCGGCCACACUGGAACUGAGACACGGUCCAGACUCCUACGGGAGGCAGCAGUGGGGAAUCUUCCGCAAUGGGCGAAAGCUUGACGGAGCAACGCCGCGUGAGUGAUGAAGGUCUUCGGAUCGUAAAACUCUGUUAUUAGGGAAGAACAAAUGUGUAAGUAACUAUGCACGUCUUGACGGUACCUAAUCAGAAAGCCACGGCUAACUACGUG
rnacentral:rRNA from 1 species